AUGUCGAUUUGAAGGUUGUUCCCUUGAGGAGUGGCUUUCGGAGCUAACGCGUUAAAUCGACCGCCUGGGGAGUACGGCCGCAAGGUUAAAACUCAAAUGAAUUGACGGGGGCCCGCACAAGCGGUGGAGCAUGUGGUUUAAUUCGAUGCAACGCGAAGAACCUUACCUACUCUUGACAUCCAGAGAAUUUAGCAGAGAUGCUUUAGUGCCUUCGGGAACUCUGAGACAGGUGCUGCAUGGCUGUCGUCAG
rnacentral:rRNA from 1 species